rnacentral:rRNA from 1 species
CUCAAAGAUUAAGCCAUGCAAGUGGUUAUAUUAACCCGACAGUUUAAAUAAGUGUUAAAUGCUACCCAUACACACUCAUACACGCAUUACACGAGGUUGAUUACGGGAGUAACAAUUUCAGCGUGAAUCACACCAUAUAGUGAAUCACUGAAAUAUACACAUUCAGUAUCACUUACGCAACUGCAGACAGCUGCUUAAUACAGUCACACUUGUCUUGACUUGGCUCAUAUGAUACGCAUACACUGUAUCGUAUCAUACAUACACUGUACACACAUACAUUGAUUUCUCUGUAUCGCUUGUCUUAUAAGGAGAUGCGUUACACCGUGACAAUUUUCUUUAUGGAUAACUCAGGGAAAGUUUGGCUAAUACGUACGAGUAAUAACCUAUCUCAUUCACACACACACAUACACAUACAUCAAUGUAUAUGUAAGACACUACUCAGCACUCAAUGGGUAAACUUUGGGCUUCGUUCGCGUCGCCAGUUUAAAGUUUAACUGCAACAUGAGAGACAUUGAGCACGCACGUGUCGUACCUUCGGGUGCUUCACAUCUACGCCGAGCAGACUUUUGCGAAGUUUACUUUGCGAAGCAUGUCAUACAAGCAUCUACAGCAUCAAGUCACAGGGUUGGCAAGUGUAUUUUUGAACCUUCAAAGCAGUCACGCAUACGGAAAAGUAGUUUCUGAUCCCAUAGAAGGAGCACCGUACAAUGAGAGACCGCUCUUAGUUCUAAGGAACGCAACAGGCGCGUAAAUUGCCCAAUGCUAGUACCCUACAAUCACAUACACGAUUGAUAUUAUUACGCGUUAACAAUUUACUGACAACACACCCACUCUAACUAUUAGAUAGGGGUGUGCAGCAUAUAUAACACAAUUAUAUUUAUUCUGUCACCCGACAGAACAUACACACACACAAUCCUUGUUCACGUAAAUAUCCUCGCUAUAUGUAAUUAAUUUUACUGAGGCAGUGACAAGCUGUAAUGGUUGAGUAUAAAAAUGACGAGUGUCUGGCAUUGCCGCUCCUUCUGGAGCUUGGCAAGUUGCCGACGCUUUGUGUGCUCAAUUGGAAUGCGGUGAGUUUAAGCAACUCAGAACCUUUGACCGGUGUUUGUAAUAUUUCACUGUUCAUGAAUCUGAAUUUCAAGUGGAGGGCAAGUCUGGUGCCAGCAGCCGCGGUAAUACCAGCUCCACUGGCCUAUACAAUCAUUGUUGCGGUUAAGAGGCUCGUAGUUGGAUUGAACUGCAAACACAAUAUACGAAUGAAUUCUAUUCAUUCUGCGUUUGAUAGUUUUUACGCAUUACUUUACGUCUCGCGUAUUCGACGCUACCUAAAUGAAAUUAUUACCACGUAUACGGUUUACCGUGUUACAGUGAUAUUUCUUAUACAUGUCACGCACAGACGCUUACAGUAGUGCUUACACACACACACACAUACACAGACUGUAGCGACUGAGUGAUUUACUAUAACAUACGUCAUCGUACGAUACACGCAGAGAAUUGAAUACAUUCUCUUAUUUCAACACUGUGAACAAAUCAGAGUGUAUCAAACAUGUCGUUUUUGAAUGUGCAUUGAAUGUCUUAUCAUGGGAUGUUGCACUUUCAGCUUGUUAAGAAUUAUUACGUACAUUACGCUGCGCCUUCAUACACAUACACACCCGCUGCAGCUCUCGUAAAGCUUAUACGCUAUGUAUGAUUCAUAACGGUUUAAAAAUGUCGAUGGGGGAUAGUUGGAGUCACAGUACUGCUGGGCGAGAGGUGGAAUUCAUUGACCCUAGCAAGGACUACCAAAAGCGAAAGCAAUUGGCUAAGGCUAUACUCCUUUGGCUUGGCGCACGUGGACCACCUGAGAAUACGUAAGUCUCACGCUGGCAGGUCAUAUCACACACACACACACACACACACUUCUGCAGCAGAGAUACAUACAAUCACGUAUCAACGUAGCGCAUUACACUUUACAAUGAAGAACGAAGGUUGGGGGAUCAAAGAGGAUCAGAUACCCUUGUCGUCCCAUUAAUUACAUCAAACGAUGGGCUCUCAAUUGCAUUUUCUUUUAAAUUGCAAAUUUCCUCAGCCUACAAAAUGACUUGGCUUGAGCUCGUAACCCUGUUACGCUCGCCUGACUAUUUUCGUACGGUCUCGAUGGACGUUUCAUUUAACUAUCUUUGCGUGUAAGCAUUGUACUAAUCUUUGAAACACAAGAUUGUACUGCGUGCACUUGAUUUUCGGAGCUUUGCGCUCAAUUCUGGUGAGAUGUAAGCAGUAUGUUAUAUUACCCGCAGUGUAUGUCUUUGGACAUUUCAUCUGUCGUUGUGGUAAUUAACACCUUUUACUGUGAAGCACGCUUUAGGCACGCGCUUACUGCAGAAAUGUCUGAGAUCUUGCUUUCCAGGGGUAGUAUGCACGCAAGUGUGAAACUUGAAGGAAUUGACGGAAGGGCACCACAAGAACGCGUGGAGCAUGUGGCUUAAUUUGACUCAACGCGGGAAAUCUUACCGGGUCCGGACACACUGAGGAUUGACAGGUAUUAUUGUAUAUUCACUUACAUAUUCUUAAUAAUAUGUCUAGUGGUAUACAUGUUAAAUAUGCUAGUCCUUUCAUGAUUAUGUGAUAGGUGGUGCAUGGCCGUUCUUAGUUCGUGGAGUGAUCUGUCUGCUUAAUUGCGUUUCACUAAGGGCCUAUAAAUUUACGUAUGUUGCGGCGCUUUGACCCCUCUUAAUUGAGCGCGUGUCUUUGUCUGCUUAGCUCAUACAAUUAGGUCCUGAAAGCAACGAACGUGACCGCAACCUCUUGUUGCCUUUAUACCAAACACGUUGCAGUAAUAUUUUUCAUUACUUUGCUUCGUGCAAAAAGGCCUUUUAAACUAGAGGGACCGCUGUUACUUUCUUAAACCAGAGGAAGGUUGCGGCAAUAACAGGUCUGUGGAUGCCCUUAGAUGUUCCGGGCUGCACACGUGCUACAUGAUUAUUGCAGUGAGCAUCUCAUUUAUACACACCGCAUGCGCGAGUCUUAUUUAUUCACCCAUUUGUGUGCUUUAAAUAUGUAUCUUCUGCGCGCGGUAAAGCCUGCUUCGAAAGUAAGUGGGUAAUCAAUUAGAAGUAAUGAUUUCCUUUUAUAGCACACAUAUAUACGGCAUCUUUACCCGGCUUACCUUGUUGUAAGUUUCUUGUGUGUAUUGAUGUUUUUUCCGUAUGUGCGAUUGUCAAUUCAUGGUGGGGACAGACCAUUGUUAAUUGUUGGUCUCGGUCUUAACUAGGAAUGCCUUGUACGGGUCUUUGGUUCAACAAACCACCCGGAAUACGUCCCUGCCCUUUGUACACACCGCCCGUCGCUCUUACCGAUGGACUUCUCUGUGAGUUUGAGGGACUGGGAACGCAUACCUCUUGUAUGCACACCUAUGGAAACUUAAACGAACAGUGUGGUCUAAAGGAAAGAGAAGUCGUAACAAGGCAUCGGUAGGUGAACCUGCAGAAGGAUCA